rnacentral:lncRNA from 1 species
CCCCGUAAAUAUGUAUAAUUAUUAUGUGUCAAUUAAAAACAAAACAAACCAAAAUACUUAAAAAGCUAAAAUCGUCUAUAAUCAUAAUACUGAGUAUUAGUCACUAUUAACAUUCUGAUACAUAGGUACAUGUACAUGUGUACAUGGAUAUGUUUCUAUGUUAUAUGUAUAUACAUCCUCUACGUAACUGGCAUGUAGAACAUGUUGCAUUUUAUCCUUAGGCUAUAGCUGACAUUUAUCAUCUCCUUCCUUCACCACCCAUUCUAGGUUUCCCUCAUUCUCAGUCAGGUGGUUGAGUUAUCCAAGCCUUCAUAACCAGAGGGUCUGAGCACUUGUUGGACUGUGCUUACUGCAGCUUCUCAUUUACAAUUACCACUGCACCUGAGAGUACCAAGAGAUUCCUGAGCCAGAGAUUACGAUUUCCAACUUCCAGCUCCUCAAGGUUUCAAUAUCAGGAUGAUGCCAGCCUCAUAAAAUGAGUUAGGGAGGAGUCUGAGAGGAGCUAUUAGAGCUUUACAGGUAGGCGAUUUUUAC